CGGUAGCUAAUACCGGAUAAUUUCUUUUUUCUCCUGAAGAAAGAAUGAAAGACGGAGCAAUCUGUCACUGAGGGAUGGGCCUGCGGCGCAUUAGCUAGUUGGUGGGGUAACGGCCCACCAAGGCGACGAUGCGUAGCCGACCUGAGAGGGUGAACGGCCACACUGGGACUGAGACACGGCCCAGACUCCUACGGGAGGCAGCAGUAGGGAAUCUUCCGCAAUGGACGAAAGUCUGACGGAGCAACGCCGCGUGAGUGAUGAAGGUUUUCGGAUCGUAAAGCUCUGUUGCCAGGGAAGAACGUCCGGUAGAGUAACUGCUACCGGAGUGACGGUACCUGAGAAGAAAGCCCCGGCUAACUACGUGCCAGCAGCCGCGGUAAUACGUAGGGGGCAAGCGUUGUCCGGAAUUAUUGGGCGUAAAGCGCGCGCAGGCGGUCAUUUAAGUCUGGUGUUUAAACCUUGGGCUCAACCUGAGGUCGCACUGGAAACUGGGUGACUUGAGUACAGAAGAGGAAAGUGGAAUUCCACGUGUAGCGGUGAAAUGCGUAGAUAUGUGGAGGAACACCAGUGGCGAAGGCGACUUUUCUGGGCUGUAACUGACGCUGAGGCGCGAAAGCGUGGGGGAGCAAACAGGAUUAGAUACCCUGGUAGUCCACGCCGUAAACGAUGAGUGCUAGGUGUUANNNGUUUCGAUACCCUUGGUGCCGAAGUUAACACAGUAAGCACUCCGCCUGGGGAGUACGGUCGCAAGACUGAAACUCANNGGANUUGACGGGGACCCGCACAAGCAGUGGAGUAUGUGGUUUAAUUCGAAGCAACGCGAAGAACCUUACCAGGUCUUGACAUCCCUCUGAAUCCACUAGAGAUAGUGGCGGCCUUCGGGACAGAGGAGACAGGUGGUGCAUGGUUGUCGUCAGCUCGUGUCGUGAGAUGUUGGGUUAAGUCCCGCAACGAGCGCAACCCUUAACUUUAGUUGCCAGCAAGUAAUGUUGGGCACUCUAGAGUGACUGCCGGUGACAAACCGGAGGAAGGUGGGGAUGACGUCAAAUCAUCAUGCCCCUUAUGACCUGGGCUACACACGUACUACAAUGGCCGGUACAACGGGAAGCGAAACCGCGAGGUGAAGCCAAUCCCAUCAAAGCCGGUCUCAGUUCGGAUUGCAGGCUGCAACUCGCCUGCAUGAAGUCGGAAUUGCUAGUAAUCGCGGAUCAGCAUGCCGCGGUGAAUACGUUCCCGGGU
rnacentral:rRNA from 1 species